rnacentral:rRNA from 8 species
UACGGUGGUGAUAGCAAUUGGGAUACACCCGUUCCCAUUCCGAACACGGAAGUUAAGCCAAUUAGCGCCGAUGGUACUUGGGGGGCAACCCCCUGGGAGAGUAGGACACUGCCGACU